rnacentral:tRNA from 1 species
GUUUUUAUGGUGUAAUAAACACAUAACUUUUUCAAAGUUAAGCUAACAGUCUUUAAAAACA